rnacentral:lncRNA from 1 species
CUUUUCUUAUACCCCUAAGGAGCCGACUCAGGGUGCUGCUAUCUGGUCUCUGUGGUAGGGCGCUAACUACGGAGCUACGCCCUUUCCUCGCGCCGCCGCGCCGCUCGCGUGUGAACCUGUACCCCCAAAAACAACAACACGGGGGUGAGACUAUUGUCCAUAGUCGUCAGUGGGUACAGCCACCCAAGGGAAAAGCUCAACCCACCAGGUCCAAAGGAGGCACUGCAACAUGUUAGUCCAACAGAUAUAUACAUAUAACAUCAUGCAAUACAUGUUCAUGCCUCACAAAUAUGCAAAUUAUGCAACUCUUAGUCAUUCUUUACCAUUAGCCUUUCUUUAGAAUUUGCUAUUCUUUAUCAUUAGCCAUUCUUUACUCUUUAUUCUUUAUUCUUUAUUCUUUAUUCUUUAUUCUUUAUUCUUUAUUCUUUAUUCUUUAUUCUUUAUUCUUUAUUCUUUAUUCUUUAUUCUUUAUUCUUUAUUCUUUAUUCUUUAUUCUUUAUUCUUUAUUCUUUAUUCUUUAUUCUUUAUUCUUUAUUCUUUAUUCUUUAUUCUUUAUUCUUUAUUCUUUAUUCUUUAUUCUUUAUUCUUUAUUCUUUAUUCUUUAUUCUUUAUUCUUUAUUCUUUAUUCUUUAUUCUUUAUUCUUUAUUCUUUAUUCUUUAUUCUUUAUUCUUUAUUCUUUAUUCUUUAUUCUUUAUUCUUUAUUCUUUAUUCUUUAUUCUUUAUUCUUUAUUCUUUAUUCUUUAUUCUUUAUUCUUUAUUCUUUAUUCUUUAUUCUUUAUUCUUUAUUCUUUAUUCUUUAUUCUUUAUUCUUUAUUCUUUAUUCUUUAUUCUUUAUUCUUUAUUCUUUAUUCUUUAUUCUUUAUUCUUUAUUCUUUAUUCUUUAUUCUUUAUUCUUUGCUAAGGGCACUCGCACCUUAGGCGCAUUAUACACAUUUGCCAUUCUUUAUAACAUUAACAAACGUUUCUCAAUUGUCAUUCUUUCUCAAUUGUCAUUCUUUCACAGGGUUACCUUUACCCUAGCCAACUAUGCCACUCGACUCGGUCUUGAGUCAAUUCAUAAUGAAUACAAGAUCCACUUUCCAAUUCAUGAUUCCUUUUUGUUCUUUGUUCUUUAAUCUCACGGCUAACCCGGGGGUUUCGCCACAUUAACUUGCUUCACAUUAAGUCCAUCAUCGCAGGAACUCACCAGCUAGGACCGUCCUUACGGGUCUACUCCAACCCGGAUGCCAAACUCCGGAGCGCAUCGCCCGAGGGGGAGCGACCGCCCUCGAGCACGGAACUCAUAGCAAGUAUGAUCAUAUCCUUAACUCAAAGGAUUUGUAGUUGAAUCAUGGCUUUACACUAACUUUAGUGUUCUUUACAUCACAUUAGUUGCUAACUCUAGCAAUCAUUGUUCUUUACACCCCACUUGUCAAUUACUCUAGUAAUUGUCAUUCUUGAUACCACACUUGUUCUUUUGUUGCCACACACUAACUCUAGUGUGCUUCAUGUCACAUUGGUUGCUAACUCUAGCCAUUAUCAUUGUUCUUUACACUUUGCUUGUUCUUUAUGCCACAUUACUUUACAUCGCCUUUAGCCAUUAUCAUUAUUCUUUACAUCACAUUGCUUUGCCUUGUCUCAAGCCAUUAUCAUUAGGUUCUCACAUUACAUCUCAUGCAUACACAUAGAUUAUUUAGAUUCUUAAUCAUUCUAAUAAGCACGUGUACUCACAUCAUGCAACAUUACAUUAUUAUCAUCACAUUGUUUUACAUUAUCUUUAGCCAUUAUCAUUAUUCUUUACAUCACAUUUAUUCUUUGUUGUCCCACACUAACUCUAGUGUCCACUUUACCAUUUCGAAUGCCACUCGAUCUAUGUUCAACAUGCAUAUAUUUUGUCAUCCAUUGGUAGUCAUUACUUAGCAUUUUAUGCAUUCGUUAACAUUUACUACAUGCAUUCUCGGUUAGUACAAAUCUCAUACUUUCAUUUGACAUCUAUUUAGCAUUUCUAUAAUAUGCACAUGUAAAUUAACAUCAACUCAUGCAUUCAUUUGGCAUCUAUCUUUAUCAUGCAUUCUUAAAUAGCAUACUUUAUCAUGCAUUCUCAAAUAGCAUACUUUAUCAUGCAUCAAUAGUAAACAUACUACACUUUGGCAUGGAAAGCGACCUAAUCGCUUCGGUGAGCACAACCCACCUCAAAACGCUUUCCGAUUGCUUGUCGACACUUGCAAUCGGCCUCCCGCGGCACCCGUAACCCGGUUUGGCCCGAACUCUUGCGCGACCACCCGAACGGCCACCAAUUCGCGAUCCGUCUGUUCGGGAGUUUAUUCCCCGACACCACGAUGCUCCCGAUCCAUUCUCAUGAUUUUUGGAGGCUUAUCCCGCGUGCUGCGGCUAUCUGUACCAAAACAGAUUGUUUCGUCAAUAACUUUGCGUACACUCGUCGGAUUGUCGAACCGAGCGCACCAACGCGUUCGUUAUACCCCCAAUUAGGUUUAUAGAGGGUCAAUUGAGAUCAAACUCAACUAUUUACAAAAACCCUCUUUAGGAGCCCUAAUAUGCAACUAUUGCAAAAUCCACCAUUUCAUCUCAUGAAUCAAGCAUAAACCAUCUAUUUAGCAUGCUAGGAUUCCAUUAAAAUCAUCUUUAGAGUAUAAGAACUUAACCCUAAAGAUCUACCAUUAGAGAGCAUAAGGCUUACCUCUCUAAGCUUGCUCCCAUGGCUCAAGGAAGGAGAUGAAGAUGAAGCUCCAUCUUCUUGGCCUCUUCUCCUUCAUCUUCUUCUUUUUCUUCUCUUUCUUUCUCUUCUUCUCCUUCUUUUCUUUCUAGAGAGAGAGAGGGAGAGGUUUUGGUGUGGGAGAGUGAGAGAAAUGAGAGAAAGAGAGAAAGGGUCCUCUCUAUACACUCUCAUAAGUGCCAUUUUGCACUUAAGCCCCUCCACAAUGCUUCCCUCGCAACAGCCCAAACUGGGCAUUUUCGGGCUUCGGGGACCGGUCCUUGCGAUGAGAGACCGGUCCCUGAGAGACCGGUCCUUGGCUGAGAGACCGGUCCCCGAAGGUCCAGAAAUCAGCCUUCAAGGACUUAGCCAAAUUUUCCGCUUUUUCAUCGUUUUAGCUCCGUUUUCGCUCGUUUUUGCUCGUUUGACCUCCGAUUCAUUUCAAAUCGAACCGAGACUCUCCAAACAUGUUUUCGAACAUAUUUUCAUCAUCUUUUCACCCACGCUAAUGCCGGAUUUAACUCACGGUUCAACAUAGCCUUUCGGCUCCGUUUUCGCGCCCUAUGCGCACCGAAGCACCCGAAUGCUCCCGAACUUCGCCGGGACGAUUCCAAUGGCUUUCUAAGCUAACUUACAUCGUAACUUCGUGAAUUUAGAAGUUCGGUAUAUUACAUUCUCCACCCCUUAAAAGAAUUUCGUCCGCGAAAUUCAAACACAACUCGAUUCAGCUCCUCGAGCAAUUGAGGGCACCAAUACACUUUCCACUUCGGAAUGGCUUUACACUCCUUGGAACUAUCCAAAAGGACUACCACGGAGUUCAUGAUACUAAAUGCAUCCAAAUUUGCAAGGCGCAUCUCACAAAGUGCAUUAGGGUAUCCAUCACUCUUGGUGGCGGCGCAAGUCGAAACUCAACGACUCCACGCGCUCCAAUACCACUUGUCACUUGGCAUACAAGAACUCUUCUUCGCAUUUACUUUCCCCUCAGGGAAUACACUCCGAUUCUAUCUCCAACAUUGCUUAAAAGCAACAUCACUAGUGCAUCGCUUCACCGCGAGUGCUUUAAUUCCGCACCGAUCUUUAGCUCUAACAUGAGCCACCUCGGCACAUCCCAAAUCCAAUCCUCAAACUCCACGUGGCUUCUCACAAGUUCAAGGUCUCACCACGAGCACUUCAUCUUCUGAUACCAUAUGCCACGGCCAACGUCUUAUUACUUUCGCAAAGAGCUCACAUGAACACGUUAUUUGUGAACUCAAAUCAAACUCCCCGAUAAGGCUAUUCGCCAAAUCACUUUCCUCGACUUUCCACAGGUGGGCCAAAGGCCACCCAUACUACGUAGGCCUACAGCCUAAACCCGUCUCAAUACUCGACGUCCCUCGCUCGCAAGCGUAGACCCAAUCAUCGUUGGGGCGAAAUUCUCACUGGGAAAUUCGCACACACUCCAACCAGGAGCAACUAAAAUCCCAAACCGUUACAGAUUCCCGGGUUGGGUCACACUCGCACUCUCAGUAUACUAUCAAUCGCACUAUACGCUCUAUAGCACAAUACGUACCACUAUCAGCUCCUUUGCACCUAGUGCGAGCCACCAGCCCCACGAGUGAUCCGUGGCACGCUUCACACCUAGCAAUGCUCAGGUGCUACUGCCAACACACUCAUCCGGCUGAACUAAAUCCGCACUCCACGAGUAACUAUACUCGAGCGCUAUAUGCGCCUCUAUAGCAUUCCAACUAUGUCAAGCAUCAGGCAACUUUGCCUAUGCACACCGGCCACACGAGCACGACUCACCCACCUCAAUUCGAGAUACUACUAGGCCAACGCGCCCGUAUUUGGCAGCCAAUCGCUCUACCGGAGCAACAUCUAGAACACUCAAACCAUUCGAGUGUCCACAAGUGUCAUGACACAACUCUUGCAAUCAAUUACAUACAUUGCUCUGCAAGUUGGUUCGUCAUUUCCACCUCUACUACAAGUCUCAUCAUUAGACCAUCACUAGCAACUCGCUAGUACCAUCCAGUUCUCUACCUGCACCGGCAGGUGCAACGCUCUCACCACAUAAGCGUGCCCGGGUACUUACAUUUAUCCGCGCACUUGGAUCCUACUAUGCUACUACAUAAAUAGUAGUAAUUAAUUACAUGCUCAAUGCAUGCAAUGCACCAACUUUACAUUAUGCAGAAACACAUGACUGCAUUAAUGGCUCAUACCUGCCAUGACGUUGUCAGCAGCAGGUUCCAUAUCCCGGACAUAGUUCACGAUAGGGAGAAUUCCCGUUCGUACUCUCUAACUGAGCGGUCUCCUUGCCGCAGCUUCCUGAACUUGUCCUGAAGCUUUCUCUUUUCACUGUCGGGGGAAGUCAGUAGAAGAUACCAAUCCCCGAAACUCAUCCCAUGCCAUGGAGGAAUACUAGGUGAUCGGUUCCGCCGAAUGCCUUUCCACCACGCCUUAGCCGACUGUUUCAAACAAUACACGACUAGGGGUACCCUGUCCAGCUCCAAGGUAGACAGCUCCUCGAAAAGCGUUUCCACAGAGUCAAUCCACGUAUCCACAAUCCACGAAUCGACAUUCUCUCCAUCGAAGAUAGGUGGAUCAAACUUUAUGAAGGUCAUGAGGGCUGCCAAAGCCCGCUCUUUCUCAUUCUUUUCCUUUCCUUCCUCUCUCUUUCUUUGUCCUCUAGAGAGAGAAAGAGAAGUGAGAGAGUGUGAGGGUGAGGAUGAGAAAAUAUCUCAUUCACCCAUCAUACUCAGCCUAUUCAUUGCAAAAUUGCAACUAAGUCUCUCAACUUUUAUUUCACAACACUGCCCAAACUGGGCAGACUUCGGGCUCUGAGACCGGUCUCCCCGACCAUGGGACCGGUUCCUGAGAGCUCUCCCCGCGGCAGCAGAGCUCGUGCGCAAUGCAACCGCUCUCCCCUGGUGAGACCGGUCUCUCGGGGACCGGUCUGUCCCCUUGGGACCGGUUCCCGAGAGCUGCGUUUCCAAGACUUAGCCAAAUCUUCAGUUCCCAGACUCCACACGCGCUCGGGGACCGGUCUCCCCGACUUGGGACCGGUCCCUGAGAGCUGAAAACCUGCAGCUUUGCAGAUUUUCAAUUCCAACGCUCUCGAAGACCUCUCCGAGGCACUUUUACUCAUUUUGACGUCCUCGGCCUCUCCGAAGCACACCCAUUUCAUACUUUGGUCACUUUGACUAAAGUUCGAUAUUUCGACCACCGAGUUUCGAUAUAUUACAUCUACAAUUUUUUUUUUGGAGUCUCUUAAUUCCCUCCCCUUGGUGCAUAGCAGCCUCUUGCGGCCGCUGCACCACAUCAGCUUGUUGCCUCACCACACCCACAAGCGUGGCCAACUGUUCGCGAAGUUCCAAGUCUCCGCGCGCCUCGGAUUGCUCAGGGACAUCACUUGUCCCACCCCGCGUCGAUCUAAACGAAGAUCGCCUACGCGGUGCCAUCGUUACCUAGAACAUGACAACUCAACUAACUCUCAACCUUCUAGGUCGAGUAUGAAACAAUUGACACCAACUCAAAUCGGGCGAAAGUCAUACAAGGGCAUCUAUUCUCAUCACUCGGUUUCAUGUUGUACGCGUCCAACAUGAACACCCUCGGUUGAGAAUAGACAACACCUUGGAUCUACCUCUAAUCUCCUUUUUAGAGGUUUACAACACAACCCAAUCCCUUAACCUUUCGCCAAAAGUCAUAAGUCCUCGUCUCUCACGAGCCUUAAUCUCCUAUGGUUUACUAUCCUAGGGUCUCCUAGGUUCAUCUAAACCACUUUUCCAUUCUCUACUUUAUGCUCUGAUACCAUCUUAUCUGUCACGCCCCGAGCCCGCCUCUUUGGUCGGAUUCGGGCACGCCAACAGACCGCCGAACGGACAGGGUUUCCCCUACACGCGGACAGAGUCUCCCCUGUACGUUCAAGGCGUCGCAAUCAAUACAAUUACAAGAGGUUCCAAACAGGAACAAUUUUCAACAACGAUUGCAUAAGGAAGGUAUCAAACAACAUAACACAUCCUAUAUUAUUACAAUCAUUCAUCUCAUCAUUUUACAUCGCAUUUUUCAUUACAUUGAUUCUCAACUUCCAAAUAUACAAUCGAUUUCUUUUCUUUUCUUUUCUUAUACCCCUAAGGAGCCGACUCAGGGUACUGCUAUCUGGUCUCUGUGGUAGGGCGCUAACUACGGAGCUACGCCCUUUCCUCGCGCCGCCGCGCCGCUCGCGUGUGAACCUGUACCCCCAAAAACAACAACACGGAGGUGAGACUAUUGUCCAUAGUCGUCAGUGGGUACAGCCACCCAAGGGAAGAGCUCAACCCACCAGGUCCAAAGGAGGCACUGCAACAUGUUAGUCCAACAGAUAUAUACAUAUAACAUCAUGCAAUACAUGUUCAUGCCUCACAAAUAUGCAAAUUAUGCAACUCUUAGUCAUUCUUUACCAUUAGCCUUUCUUUAGAAUAUGCAAUUCUUUAUCAUUAGCCAUUCUUUAUUCUUUAUUCUUUGCUAAGGGCACUCGCACCUUAGGCCCAUUAUACACAUUUGCCAUUCUUUAUAACAUUAACAAACGUUUCUCAAUUGUCAUUCUUACUCAAUUGUCAUUCUUUCACAGGGUUACCUUUACCCUAGCCAGCUAUGCCACUCGACUCGGUCUUGAGUCAAUUCAUAAUGAAUACAAGAUCCACUUUCCAAUCCAUGAUUCCUUUUUGUUCUUUGUUCUUUAAUCUCACGGCUAACCCGGGGGUUUCGCCACAUUAACUUGCUUCACAUUAAGUCCAUCAUCGCAGGAACUCACCAGCUAGGACCGUCCUUCGGGUUUACUCCAACCCGUGAUGCAAAACUCCGGAGCGCAUCGCCCGAGGGGGAGCGACCGCCCUCGAGCACGGAACUCAUAGCAAGUAUGAUCAUAUCCUUAACUCAAAGGAUUUGUAGUUGAAUCAUGGCUUUACACUAACUUUAGUGUUCUUUACAUCACAUUAGUUGCUAACUCUAGCAAUCAUUGUUCUUUACACCCAACUUGUCAAUUACUCUAGUAAUUGUCAUUCUUGAUACCACACUUGUUCUUUUGUUGCCUCACACUAACUCUAGUGUGCUUCAUGUCACAUUGGUUGCUAACUCUAGCCAUUAUCAUCGUUCUUUACACUUUGCUUGUUCUUUAUGCCACAUUACUUUACAUCGCCUCAAGCCAUUAUCAUUAUUCUUUACAUCACAUUGCUUUGCCUUGUCUCAAGCCAUUAUCAUUAGGUUCUCACAUUACAUCUCCUGCAUACACAUAGAUUAUUUAGAUUCUUAAUCAUUCUAAUAAGCACGUGUACUCACAUCAUGCAACAUUACAUUAUUAUCAUCACAUUGUUUUACAUUAUCUUUAGCCAUUAUCAUUAUUCUUUACAUCACAUUUAUUCUUUGUUGUGCCACACUAACUCUAGUGUCCACUUUACCAUUUCGAAUGCCACUCGAUCUAUGUUCAACAUGCAUAUAUUUUGUCAUCCAUUGGUAGUCAUUACUUAGCAUUUUAUGUAUUCGUUAACAUUUACUACAUGCAUUCUCGGUUAGUACAAAUCUCAUACUUUCAUUUGACAUCUAUUUAGCAUUUCUAUAAUAUGCACAUGUAAAUUAACAUCAACUCAUGCAUUCAUUUGGCAUCUAUCUUUAUCAUGCAUUCUUAAAUAGCAUACUUUAUCAUGCAUUCUCAAAUAGCAUAUUUUAUCAUGCAUCAAUAGUAAACAUACUACACUUUGGCAUGGAAAGCGACCUAAUCGCUUCGGUGAGCACAACCCACCUCAAAACGCUUUCUGAUUGCUUGUCGACACUUGCAAUCGGCCUCCCGCGGCACUCGUAGCCCGGUUUGGCCCGAACUCUUGCGCGACCACCCGAACGACCACCAAUUCGCGAUCCGUCUAUUCGGGAGUUUAUUCCCCGACACCACGAUGCUCCCGAUCCAUUCUCAUGAUUUUUGGAGGCUUAUCCCGCGUGCUGCGGCUAUCUGUACCAAAACAGAUUGUUUCGUCAAUAACUUCGCGUACACUCGUCGGAUUGUCGAACCGAGCGCACCAACGCGUUCGUUUGGUCCCCAAUUAGGUUUAUAGAGGGUCAAUUGAGAUCAAACCCAACUAUUUACAAAAACCCUCUUUAGGAGCCCUAAUAUGCAACUAUUGCAAAAUCCACCAUUUCAUCUCAUGAAUCAAGCAUAAACCAUCUAUUUAGCAUGCUAGGAUUCCAUUAAAAUCAUCUUUAGAGUAUAAGAACUUAACCCUAAAGAUCUACCAUUAGAGAGCAUAAGGCUUACCUCUCUAAGCUUGCUCCCAUGGCUCAAGGAAGGAGAUGAAGAUGAAGCUCCAUCUUCUUGGCCUCUUCUCCUUCAUCUUCUUCUUUUUCUUCUCUUUCUUUCUCUUCUU